UACGUAGGGUGCGAGCGUUAAUCGGAAUUACUGGGCGUAAAGCGUGCGCAGGCGGUUUUGUAAGCCAGAUGUGAAAGCCCCGGGCUUAACCUGGGAAUGGCAUUUGGGACUGCAAGGCUGGAGUGUGGCAGAGGAGACUGGAAUUCCUGGUGUAGCAGUGAAAUGCGUAGAUAUCAGGAGGAAUACCGAUGGCGAAGGCAGGUCUCUGGGCUGACACUGACGCUGAAGCGCGAAAGCUAGGGGAGCGAACGGG
rnacentral:rRNA from 1 species